rnacentral:rRNA from 1 species
GACGAAGGAUCCAAGCGUUGUCCGGAUUUACUGGGUUUAAAGGGUGCGUAGGCGGGGUGCUAAGUCAGUGGUGAAAGCCCGCAGCUCAACUGCGGAACUGCCAUUGAAACUGGCACUCUUGAAUACGGUGGAGGUAGAUGGAAUGUAACAUGUAGCGGUGAAAUGCUUAGAUAUGUUACAGAACACCGAUUGCGAAGGCAGUCUGCUACACCGUGAUUGACGCUGAGGCACGAAAGCGUGGGGAGCAAACAGG